GGCAGCCGGGAGCCCAGCGAAGAGAGCGAGCAAGCUUAGGAAAACGAGCGAAGUAAAGGGAGUAGGGGAGACUGAGACUGACCGGUAGCCAGGCAGGCGGACGGACGCACGCCCGGACAGACUGAGCAGGCGCCGGAGAACCACUCACAGGUUCCCCCCGCCUUUCCCUUUGAAAGCUAGGAUUUUGCCUUUCCCGUGGCGCCCGAGAGAGAAUGCUGGACUCUGCCGACUUCAGCGCAAGCUAAGAUUUCUCAGCUAGGGACAAAAGAUCAGCCCAAUCCUGAGAAAGGGGGAACCAAGCACCCCGUCCCCAUCCCCCUCCCCUCCCCCGACUAAACUCGGGCGCCAAACCCAGCCCUUCCCUAACCACCCUACUUCCUCCUCUCCUUUCUAGCAUGGUGGCUGUAUGGACAGUCUGACAGAACAGAGACUGACAUCUCCCAAUCUGCCGGCCCCCCACCUGGAACACUACAGUGUUCUGCAUUGCACCAUGACCCUGGAUGUGCAAACUGUAGUCGUUUUUGCCGUGAUUGUAGUCCUCCUGCUUGUCAAUGUCAUACUCAUGUUUUUCCUGGGAACGCGCUGAAUGGAGUCCAGCCACCUGAGCUGUCGCGAACUCUCGCUUUGAUUUCAUCCCGAGAGCCACCGAGAAAAAAAAAUUCACAGACAGACAGGGAAAGAGAGAGAAAGAACAAGCUUUCUUACUCAGGGGGGAAAACGUUUUGAGCUUCAACAUGGCCUCGCUGUGAUAUGUAUGACGUUGGUAUAUUAUCUCUCCCUAAA
rnacentral:sRNA from 1 species